rnacentral:rRNA from 1 species
AACGAACGCUGGCGGCAGGCCUAACACAUGCAAGUCGAGCGAGGACUUCGGUCCUAGCGGCGGACGGGUGAGUAACGCGUGGGAACGUGCCCUUUGCUUCGGAAUAGCCCUGGGAAACUGGGAGUAAUACCGGAUGAGCCCUUUGGGGGAAAGAUUUAUCGGCGAAGGAUCGGCCCGCGUUGGAUUAGGUAGUUGGUGGGGUAAUGGCCUACCAAGCCGACGAUCCAUAGCUGGUUUGAGAGGAUGAUCAGCCACACUGGGGCUGAGACACGGCCCAGACUCCUACGGGAAGCAGCAGUGGGGAAUCUUAGACAAUGGGGGAAACCCUGAUCUAGCCAUGCCGCGUGAGCGAUGAAGGCCUUAGGGUUGUAAAGCUCUUUCAGCUGGGAAGAUAAUGACGGUACCAGCAGAAGAAGCCCCGGCUAACUCCGUG